GAUGAAGAACGCAAGCGAAAUGCGAUAAGUAAUGUGAAUUGCAGAAUUCAGUGAAUCAUCGAAUCUUUGAACGCACCUUGCGCUCCCUGGUAUUCCGAGGAGCAUGCCCGUUUGAGUGUCAUGAAAACCUUCAACCCCCCUCUUCGCAUCUGUCGAGGAGGGAGGUUGGACUUGGGUGCUGCCGCCGCUCUCUCUGCGGCUCACCUCAAAUGCAUUAGUCGACUCUUGCCGGCCUCACCUUUGACGUGAUAGACAUCGUCGUCGAGGUUCAGGUUGGCCCACCUGGAGCGGCUCACAACUGUCUUUGGACAUCGAAAGAUACACAUGACCCCUUUGACCUCAAAUCGGGUAGGACUACCCGCUGAACUUAAGCAUAUCAAUAAGCGGAGGA
rnacentral:misc_RNA from 1 species